rnacentral:lncRNA from 1 species
CGGAAGGUCCUACUGCUGGAGAUGAAGAAGAAUCUGAGAAGUCAGUAUCUGAGGUGAAUGAUGAGGAUGAUGAUGAGGAGGGCAGUGGCGAGGUUUCUUUUUAUUCUUUUUUGCGUCAUUGCCUUGUGGUUUGUGGUAAUUAUUUGCAUGAUAUUUACUUGGUAUUGUUUAUUUCAUGCAGGAGGAGGAUGAUGAUUAGAGAGUGGACUGAUAACAAUUUAUGUAGGUUUUGAUGAUUUGGAUCAUCUUUUGUAGGUGGUCUGGUCAUUUCCUGAUGAUAAACAAACAUGUUUCUUUCUUCCAGAAAAAUAUUUCUCUGCUCCCUCCGUAAAAUUGUUUUGU